rnacentral:rRNA from 1 species
UGGCGGACGGGUGAGUAAUGUCUGGGAAACUGCCCGAUGGAGGGGGAUAACUACUGGAAACGGUAGCUAAUACCGCAUAACGUCGCAAGACCAAAGAGGGGGACCUUCGGGCCUCUUGCCAUCGGAUGUGCCCAGAUGGGAUUAGCUAGUAGGUGGGGUAACGGCUCACCUAGGCGACGAUCCCUAGCUGGUCUGAGAGGAUGACCAGCCACACUGGAACUGAGGCACGGUCCAAG